UGACUUGAAGAUGGGUCUAUCACAAAGGUCCAUAACUAAGGUCAGUGAUCUCUAUUGCACAUAAGUGGAGUGCUAUUUUAAGAUUUAGGUACUAGUGGAUCUUACAUCAUAAUUUGUGAUAGUGGAAGUUUAUGUUUGUGCAUAAUUUUAAU
rnacentral:snRNA from 11 species